rnacentral:ncRNA from 1 species
AAAGACUUAGUCCUAACCUUACAGUUAAUUCUUGCUAGACAUAUACAUGCAAGUAUCCGCGCCCCAGUGUAAAUGCCCCUAAUCUCUUACUAAGACAAAAGGAGCAGGUAUCAGGCACACCCAUGAUUAGUAGCCCAAGACACCUUGCACAGCCACACCCCCACGGGUACUCAGCAGUAAUUAACAUUAAGCAAUAAGUGUAAACUUGACUUAGUUAUAGCAACACACAGGGUUGGUAAAUCUUGUGCCAGCCACCGCGGUCAUACAAGAGACCCAAAUUAACUGUACACGGCGUAAAGAGUGGAAUUAAUACUAUCACAACAACUAAGAUCAAACCGUAACUGAGCUGUCAUAAGCCCAAGAUGCUCCUAAGACCACCCUUAAGACGAUCUUAGCGCCUUACGAUUAAUUAAAUCCCACGAAAGCUUGGGCACAAACUGGGAUUAGAUACCCCACUAUGCCUGGCCCUAAAUCUCGAUGCUUAACUCACCAAAGCAUCCGCCUGAGAACUACGAGCACAAACGCUUAAAACUCUAAGGACUUGGCGGUGCCCCAAACCCACCUAGAGGAGCCUGUUCUAUAAUCGAUACCCCACGAUAUACCCGACCGCUCCUUGCCAGAGCAGCCUACAUACCGCCGUCGCCAGUUCACCUUUCCUGAGAGCACAACAGUGAGCACAAUAGCCUCAACCUCGCUAAUACGACAGGUCAAGGUAUAGCCCAUGGAGCGGAAGAAAUGGGCUACAUUUUCUAAAUUAGAAAACUCCACGAAAAGGGGCGUGAAACCACCCCUAGAAGGCGGAUUUAGCAGUAAAGUGGGACAAUAAAGCCCCCUUUAAACCGGCCCCAGGGCACGUACAUACCGCCCGUCACCCUCCUCACAAGCUACAAUCCCUUAUAAUUAAUAUACUAAUCAGCUGAAGAUGAGGUAAGUCGUAACAAGGUAAGUGUACCGGAAGGUGCACUUAGCACA